rnacentral:rRNA from 1 species
AUGGCAGAAGAGAAGAAACCACACUCCCAGCCACCGCCGUCGUGGUCAGGCCUCCCGCUGGACCUAGCAGGCUUGGUGCUCAGCCUGCUCCCCGUGUACGCCGACCGCGCCUGCUUUGCCGCGGUGUGCCCACAGUGGCGUGCCGCCGCGAGGCAGCUCCAGCCGCCACCGCUGCCACUGCUGGCACUCCCCGACGGCACCUUCUACAGCCUCAUGUACGACAAGCCCUUCCGCUUCCCUGGUUGUGGCUUCGCUGGGUACGAGAAUGUCUGUGGCAGCUGGCUCGUCUUCUCACGCGAUGACGGAUGCUUCAUGGUCAACCCCUUCUCCCGGGCCACCGUGAGGCUCCCUGCUCUCUCAAGUGUACGACUCCGGCCUCCAAAUGCGUCUGCUAAAUCUAAAUGGGCAGAGGGCGGAAGUGUAGAAUCUGCUAACCUCUACAUCACAUGGAUGCGUAUCAAUAAAGCAGACAACCUGCGCAUAAGUAAGCUAAUCCUGUGCUCGCCAAAUCUCGUUGCUGCACUAGUUGGCAUUGGAUCCUUCAGCCAGAUUCUAAUGUGCCAGCCAGGGGCCUUGUCAUGGUCAGUACGUGCGUAUGAUCGGAUCGAGGAUUUCCAAGACAUGUCAUUCUACCAGGGCAAGCUGUACGCCAUUGCCAAGGACGAGAACCUCCUUGUGGUGAACAUCAGCCAGGACCAGAGCACCGGCGAUCCACAGGUUUGUCGGAUUGGACGAGUCAUCGAGGGUGAUUGUCCUACAUGGUAUGAUGGUGUAUUCGAGGACAACAGUUCGGCCUGCAAGAAGCUCUACCUGGUUGAAUCGCGUGGGAUGUUGCUGAUGGUACGCAGGACGAUUUGGUGUCAGUUUCCUGAACCUGGAGGGGACGGUAGAAUUAUGGGUGGACAGAAUGAGUUCGAGGUUUUCGAGGCUGACUUUGAGCAUUCACGGUGA